CAAUGAAAUAAAAAAUGGCACUAUCCUUCGAUUAACCACAUCUCCAGCUCAAAACGCCCAGCAGCUCCAUGAACGGAUUCAGUCGUCGAGUAUGGACGCCAAACUGGAGGCUCUGAAGGACCUGGCCAGCCUGUCGCGGGAUGUCACGUUUGCCCAGGAGUUUAUCAAUCUGGACGGCAUCUCUCUUCUCACACAGAUGGUGGAGAGCGGCACUGAGCGCCGGGGAAAAAAAUUGGCUUUUAAGAUAGUGUGUGGGGUGUGGUUUGUAAUUUAAGUAUCACCACAUUCUCCACCCACCGACUAGCCAAGAUCUAGGACAAUAUCUGACAUUUCAUAUUUAUAAGGAAAAAUAUUAGGUCAUUAUCUCUAAGGGCCUUUCCAACACUAAAAUUACAAUUCUUACAAAAUAGAAAUCCCUCAUAUCCCUUGCUUAUCUCCAAGAACAUUUUUAUUCCCUGAUUCCAUUUAAAAAAGUAUAAGAACACCUCCUUAUGUUUCAAAGUCUUAAACCAGGUCAAAAUAACAUCCCUGAAGUAAUUUAAAAAAAUUAACAUUGACUGAUGAAAUAUGUGUCCUUAAUUAUUUACCGUUAAAUACAGAAAAUAUUCAUUCGGUAUCUACAUAUGCAAAAAAGUAGAAGUUGGGAAAAUUUGAAAAGAUCAGAGUUCCCGUUGUGGCUCAGCAGGUUAAGAACUUGACAUACUAUCCGUGAGGAUGUGUGUUUUGAUCCCUGGCCUCACUCAGUGGGUUAAGGAUCUGGUGUUGCCGCAAGCUGCAGUAUAGGUUGUAGACGUGACUCUGAUCUGGUGUCACUGUGGCUGUGGCGUAGGCUGGCAGCUGCAGCUCCAAUUCCACCCCUAGCCUGGGAACUUAGGUGUGGCCCUAAAAAGGAAAAAAAAAAAUUUGAAAAGAUGUGAGCCUAACCAACCAAAAAUUUAUGGAGGCACAAUUCAGUUGAGCUACAACUCCUUCUGAAGGCUGGGAGUCUAGAGGUCGGACCAGUUGUAUCUCAUGAACCUGACAGGGAUUGGAGUUCUGUCACAAGCGAGGAAGGGAUGGGCGGGUUUUGUUUGUUUGUUUUGUACUUUUAGAGCCGCACCCGUGGCAUAUGGAGGUUUCCAGGCUAGGGAUCUAAUCAGAGCUGUUGCUGCCAGCCUACACCAGAGCCAUAGCAAUGCCAGAUCCGAGGCGUGUCUGCAACGUACCCCACAGCUCAAGGCAACACCGGAUCCUUAACCCACUGAGCAAGGCCAGGGAUCGAACCAGCAACUUCAUGGUUCCUAGUCGGAUUCGUUUCCACUGUGCCAGGGUGGGAACUCCGUGAUGGGCAUUUCUGAUUGGUGCCCUCACCUCAGGGAAGGGUUUGAUUCUCUGAUGUGACUGUGGCGUCUAAGGAGCCAUGUGGGUCUAGCUUUUAUGAAUGGACAGAUAACUCGCUUGACCAGAGUAGCCCGGUGGGGUCUACAGGACCGGCUCAUUUCCUAUAGACAGGUGCUGCUGGCAGAGACCAUUAGAGCGUGCAAGUCAGCACGUGAGAAUGCAGAGCCCACUAACUACACUGUCUGUAUUCCACCAUAUAAAUGAUGUGCAGCGUUGGGAUAGGUGUUUACUAGGGAAGAAUAAAUAGCAUUGAGAAUUGGGGUUUCAACCUGGCUCCGUUAAACCUCUCUUCAGUACAUAGUGAUUUAAAGAACGACCUGAUAAUCACUAUGAAAAAUCUGGGCUACUGAGCCCCCUGCCUCCAUCCCACUGCCACACCUUUGUAAUAAUCACUUACGGGAAUUUCAUUUUCUGGGCUUAACUAAAACCCAACCAUCUUACCCACUCAGAAUCCACACCACCAUGAUGCUAGGUUGACACCCAGCUAGAGAAUAUAGUAGAAUCAUAGGUUGUAGUCUUAUGCCUGGACUCAUUCAAAGUAAGGAGACAGUAUAAGGCCAUCAUAUUAUGAAAUAAAUGUACCUAAUGACAUCAUCUUAAAAUGCAUUUUAUCUCUGAAACACAUGCUAAAGAAUAGUGAGGUCGACUCAAACUUUCUUUUUUUAAUUGUUAAAACGCAUGAUUU
rnacentral:lncRNA from 9 species